rnacentral:rRNA from 1 species
UACGUAGGGUGCGAGCGUUAAUCGGAAUUACUGGGCGUAAAGCGUGCGCAGGCGGUUUUGUAAGCCAGAUGUGAAAUCCCCUCGGCUUAACCGGGGAACUGCGUCUGAUACUGGAUGGCUUGAGUUUGGGAGAGGGAUGCGGAAUUCCAGGUGUAGCGGUGAAAUGCGUAGAUAUCUGGAGGAACACCGGUGGCGAAGGCGGCAUCCGUGGACCAACACUGACGCUGAGUGAGCGAAAGCCAGGGGAGCAAACGGG